rnacentral:lncRNA from 1 species
GGUUGUAAACUCGCAGGAUGAAAUAUGCAAAUCGAUCGCUGAGAGUGGAGGCAUUGAUGUGAUCCUGAAAUGUAUUGAAGACAGUGGUGAACAUGGGCAUAGCGAUGUUGCUCGAACGUGCUGCUCUUUGCUAGCUAAGGUACAAUGAGCAAAAAGUCCAUUUUAAAUCUUGAAUCAUCCAUUGAGUAACCAGUAAACUGAACAAGCCACACAACCAAACCAGAGAGUGUAUAGUCCCUAAACUUGAAUCUCAUUAGUUGGCAGGAA